AUACUGUGGUACUCCUGCGUCUCCAGCGACAGCCCCUGCGGAGCAUCUGGAGGAGGGCUCGUGUGAUUUGGGAAGCCCAACAGGAGUACAGGACGCGUCGAGGCAAGCAUUUGGUUACCCCGUCCGCAAGCCCCAGCAGCAAUGCUCUCCGAAGCACAGAAGGAGCACGAAAUGGUUUCCGAGGAGAGCGGAGGAGGAGGAGAAGGAGGCCGAGGAUGUGGCCGCAGCUGCCUCUCCAAGUGCUGCCUGCGUCAAGGGGCCAAGCUUCUGCUGUACUGUUUCAGCAAGAUCGACGAGGAUUUAUGCUUGCCCGUACCAAAAGUACAGCCUCGAGUUUCUUUUCUUGAUAGGCUCCUUGAAGAGUGGGAUGACCGCAAGGUGAGGGGCUUGUUCCACCAUGACAUAGCUGCUUGUGAAACUAAGGUACUACCAGGGAAACAUAACUUUAUAAUAGUGUUGAUAGAAGGACGCGACCUAAAGAAACGACCGACUGAAUUCAGGAUCGACGAGGUCCUUCAACCAUUUGAUGGCGACAAGUUCAAUUUCACGAAGAUUGGGCAAGAGGAGCUGAUCUUUAGGUUCGAAGAGAGCAGCAAUGGCAAGGCUGGGUACUUCCAAAGUGCUCCUAUAAUGUCUUCAAGCUCGCCAAAUAUUAUUGCAAUUAAUGUGAGUCCAAUAGCUCACGGCCAUGUGCUUUUGAUCCCUCGUAUAUUAGACUUCUUGCCACAAAGGAUAGAUUGCCAGAGCUUCCUACUCGCGAUGUAUAUGGUGAAGGCAGCUAGGAACCCAUAUUUUAGAAUGGGUUACAACAGUCUUGGUGCUUUUGCCACCAUUAACCACCUCCAUUUCCAGGGCUACUAUUUGGAAGUAAAAUUUCCAGUUGAGAAGGCUCCUACUCAAAUAAUUGCGACUGUAGGGAGUGGGGUAAAUGUCGCUGAACUGUUGGAGUAUCCCGUAAGAGGUCUUGUAUUUGAAGGUGGUAAAAAUAUGCUGGAUUUGUCUGAUACUGUUUCUUCAGCAUGCAUUUUCUUGCAAGAGAGCAACAGGCCCUUCAAUGUACUAUUCUCCGAAUGUGGCAAGAGGAUUUUCCUCUUACUGCAGUGCUAUGCCAUGAAGCAGGCUCACGGGAAAGUGAGCCCAGAGAUUCUUGAGACACGUGUUAAUCCAGCAUGUUGGGAGCUCGGUGGUCAUUUUGCGUUGAAACGGAGAAAAGACUUUGAUGAAGCAUCAGAAGAGGGUAUAUGCAAAUUUUUAGCUCAAGUAGCUCUCUCAGAACAGGAGUUCCAAUUGGUGAAAGAAUCCAUAUUGAAGUCUCUGUCCGGUGGACCAGCUGGGAAGAAAAACACGGGAGAAAUGUUGUAAGGAAGAAAUGCUACAUCCCAUCAUUGUCUCAAUCGGUUUGGCCAUCGACCAGGGGUGUACUUAUCCGGAUGGGUUGUCCAGUGGAUGCAUGAAUCAGGUCGGUGUAUGCAAUGUGACACGCAACACUUGAGGUCUGCGGACCAAUAUAGCAGGCACCAGAUUGGGUUUGAUAUUGGAUUACUUACCCUUGAGGCAUCUUUUCACUUUGAAUAUGAUUUUUCUUCGUGGCUCUGUCGUACCCACUGGGAAACUUUAAUUGUGCUUUCUCACCCCCAUUUCCCCAGGUGGCACGGGCGAGGAGUGGUUUUUGGUGCGACGGGAGGACUUCCUAGCUAGGCUACAUUCGUGGUCAUCACCCUGGUUAUUUUAUUUUCUACAGUUAGUAGUUUAAAUAAUGAAUGGUUCAGUUAGAUGAUCAUUGUUAUUUUGAAUAAUCGUGAACUUGUGUGAGUUGAUGCUUUCUAAUUUCUAUUAUGCAUGCAAUUGGAAUUUUAUGAA